UCAGUUGUGAAAGUUUGCGGCUCAACCGUAAAAUUGCAGUUGAUACUGGAUAUCUUGAGUGCAGUUGAGGCAGGCGGAAUUCGUGGUGUAGCGGUGAAAUGCUUAGAUAUCACGAAGAACUCCGAUUGCGAAGGCAGCCUGCUAAGCUGCAACUGACAUUGAGGCUCGAAAGUGUGGGUAUCAAACAGGAUUAGAUACCCUGGUAGUCCACACGGUAAACGAUGAAUACUCGCUGUUUGCGAUAUACGGCAAGCGGCCAAGCGAAAGCGUUAAGUAUUCCACCUGGGGAGUACGCCGGCAACGGUGAAACUCAAAGGAAUUGACGGGGGCCCGCACAAGCGGAGGAACAUGUGGUUUAAUUCGAUGAUACGCGAGGAACCUUACCCGGGCUUAAAUUGCAUUUGAAUAUAGUGGAAACAUUAUAGCCGCAAGGCAAAUGUGAAGGUGCUGCAUGGUUGCCGUCAGCUCGUGCCGUGAGGUGUCGGCUUAAG
rnacentral:rRNA from 1 species